ACGGGUGAGUAAUGUCUGGGGAUCUGCCCGAUAGAGGGGGAUAACCACUGGAAACGGUGGCUAAUACCGCAUAACGUCGCAAGACCAAAGAGGGGGACCUUCGGGCCUCUCACUAUCGGAUGAACCCAGAUGGGAUUAGCUAGUAGGCGGGGUAACGGCCCACCUAGGCGACGAUCCCUAGCUGGUCUGAGAGGAUGACCAGCCACACUGGAACUGAGACACGGUCCAGACUCCUACGGGAGGCAGCAGUGGGGAAUAUUGCACAAUGGGCGCAAGCCUGAUGCAGCCAUGCCGCGUGUAUGAAGAAGGCCUUCGGGUUGUAAAGUACUUUCAGCGGGGAGGAAGGCGAUGUGGUUAAUAACCUUGUCGAUUGACGUUACCCGCAGAAGAAGCACCGGCCAACUCCGUGCCAGCAGCCGCGGUAAUACGGAGGGUGCAAGCGUUAAUCGGAAUUACUGGGCGUAAAGCGCACGCAGGCGGUCUGUUAAGUCAGAUGUGAAAUCCCCGGGCUUAACCUGGGAACUGCAUUUGAAACUGGCAGGCUUGAGUCUCGUAGAGGGGGGUAGAAUUCCAGGUGUA
rnacentral:rRNA from 1 species